AGUGAACGCUGGCGGUAGGCCUAACACAUGCAAGUCGAACGGCAGCACAGUAAGAGCUUGCUCUUGCGGGUGGCGAGUGGCGGACGGGUGAGGAAUACAUCGGAAUCUACUUUUUCGUGGGGGAUAACGUAGGGAAACUUACGCUAAUACCGCAUACGACCUACGGGUGAAAGCAGGGGAUCUUCGGACCUUUCGCGAUUGAAUGAGCCGAUGUCGGAUUAGCUAGUUGGCGGGGUAAAGGCCCACCAAGGCGACGAUCCGUAGCUGGUCUGAGAGGAUGAUCAGCCACACUGGAACUGAGACACGGUCCAGACUCCUACGGGAGGCAGCAGUGGGGAAUAUUGGACAAUGGGCGCAAGCCUGAUCCAGCCAUACCGCGUGAGUGAAGAAGGCCUUCGGGUUGUAAAGCCCUUUUGUUGGGGAAGAAAAGCAGCAGGUUAAUACCCCGCUGUUCUGACGGUACCCAAAGAAUAAGCACCGGCUAACUUCGUG
rnacentral:rRNA from 1 species